UACGUAGGGGGCAAGCGUUGUCCGGAUUUAUUGGGCGUAAAGAGCGUGUAGGCGGCCAGGUAGGUCUGCUGUGAAAACUCGAGGCUCAACCUCGAGACGUCGGCGGAAACCCUCUGGCUAGAGUCCGGAAGAGGAGAGUGGAAUUCCUGGUGUAGCGGUGAAAUGCGCAGAUAUCAGGAAGAACACCCGUGGCGAAGGCGGCUCUCUGGGACGGUACUGACGCUGAGACGCGAAAAGCGUGGGGAGCAAACAGG
rnacentral:rRNA from 1 species